rnacentral:RNase_P_RNA from 1 species
UGGCGUGGGAGUUUCGUCGCUGCCUCCCCUACGGGGAGGGAGAGGAAAGUCCGAGCAACACAGAGCACCGUGCUUUCUAACGGAAAGUUGUCGGCGACGGCAAGGUUAAAGGUAACAGAAAAUAACCGCCCGCAAGGGUAAGGGUGAAAAGGCGGGGUAAGAGCCCACCGCCCGUGUGGCAACACAUUGGGGACAGUACUACCGACGGGUUGCAAGUUCAAGUAUAUCGACAGUAUGUAGGGUUGCUCGCCCGAUGUCGAGGGGUAGAACGCUUUAGCCUGUGCGAGAGCACAGCGCAUAGAUUAAUGACGAAGGCUGCUCCGCCGAGGGAGUGUUGUGCGCAACGCACCCGAGGGGGAUCAAGCAGUACAGAACUCGGCUUAUAUCCCACGCCAGACU